rnacentral:lncRNA from 1 species
AACACAGGUCAAAGUACGGCCUUUUACACAGGGCUUUGAUACAGACCAAACAGCAAGCUAUAAAGGAUCCCAAAAUUAUUAGCGUACACAAUUCGAACAGGAAAACCAACGAUCUAAUUUAUAUAUCCAAACGGGAAAAUACCAAUGAACAACAUCAACAAACGAUAACUGCUGAACGACAGGCCCCUGGAUCAAUCAGGACAGGUGCAUAAACAUGCAGCGGCUAUAGAUAGUUUUGUUUUGCCAGCAUAUAAUAUAAUUGCAGUUGAAGGCAAAUCCUUCAGAAGUUCUUUGUACUUUAUUCUAACAACGAACAUUUUUUGAUAGGGAAGAUAAGUAAGGGG